CUUCCAGCACUUUGGGAGGCCAAGGCGGGCGGAUCACGAGUUAAAGAGUGGUAAUCAGAUCUGCAUGGAUGCCACUUGGGUCAUCUGUCAUUUCACUUGAAGGCAAAGAAAUGUUUUUAACUGGUAAGUACAACCUUAUCAUAAAAGUCUAUUUUCUGUAAGAAAUACUGAAAAUAUGUUGAAAACCUCCCUUAGUGCCCUUCAGGACACAUAAGAAUCCUAGUAUACCAGGUUGGGAACUAUUGCUAUAGGAUUUGAAAGGAAUAGCAAACAGUAUUAUCUGGAAGUGAAGAGGAAAAAGAGAUUCUACUUAAAAACAUUUGUGAAAUGACUGAAAGAAAUAAAUCUAUGAAGUUGUUUAGAACAUGGUCCUUUAUGGAAAGACCUGCCUGCUGUAGAUUCCAUUCACAUUUUAUAUAUUUGUAAUGCCUUACAAAGCUAGUCUUUGCACUUGAAGCUACUGCUAAUUGAGCAAUAGAAUCAUACCUCAUAAAGCUUAAACUGUAUUUAAAUAUUUUGAUAGGGGAUCCAGAAAUCUGAGUAAAACCCUGGGUUCUGCAGGUGCACAUGGCUCACAUAUAAGGCAUUUGAAGGACUUAUGGUCUUGAUGGGGAACACUGUCAACUCUGAUUCUGUUUGUCUGAGGUUACUUAGGGUACAAGAUGAAGACAUGGUUCCUUCUGGAACCACCAUGGCCAGCAGCCGCAUGUUGGGCAGCUGCUGAUACUCAAGGUGCCCGGGCAGGAGAGGGUGAGAGGCCAGCCCUGGUCAAAUUCCUUGCUGCUGCCAGAGGAAGCAGUCUUGCCAUGUGUGUCCACAUGGAUAUGAUUAGCUGCUGAGGUGGAGUUGAUAUCUGAGCGAGGCUCUCGAGGACACAUUCUGGAUAGAUCUCCAUAUGGGAGUUGGAUGACUGCCACCAGUCAGUCUUGGCAGUCCCCAGAAUUCUUCUGAAGUGGACAGUGGAAGAAGUGAAACAUUGCCUGGCAGCUGGCAUCAAUGCAGUCUCUGGAUAUGCAGAAGAAAAGGUUCAAAAGGAACUGAACCCAAUCCAGUCUUUAUAUGGUAAAUAUCCCAGCUUCACGGUAGAAGAGCAGGCAUGGCGGAAAUAAAAGAAAACUCGACUUUUUCAGACCAGGGGACAGGGAAGAGAAACAGAGAAGAAUAAAGGGAGGAGGCCCUGGGAUUCAGCAGAGAGGGAAGAGCCGCCAGGCUGUGGCCCCACUCCAGCCUCUACCAUAGAGCUGUGUAAUCCUGGGGAAGGCAUUGAACCUCUUUGUGCCUCAGUUUCUUCACCUAUUAAAUGUGAAUGAUAAUUGUACAUCUUCCUCCUAGGUGUGUCGUGAGAAUUAAAUCAUGCGAAGUCCACGUCAAGCCUAGUCUACCUGUGAACCAGUAUUACCGUGUGUGUGCUAGAUCAAUUCAGGGGAGCCUAUGGGAAGGAGCAUUUCUGUCCUGAUUCCCAUUUAGUCUCAAGUCCUAAAUGAGAAUCAGGACAUCUGUCCUGAUUAGGACUCAGGCUAACUGGCAAGUGUAGCGAGGUACAGUCAUGUUAGACAGAUGGAGAGGCUGCUUUUUAGCUUUCCUGGAAUGACCUUGAUAUUCGAGUGACACAAACAGGACCCAGAAUUAGCCAAGAACCUAACAGGAAAUCUGCCCUGAGUGGUUCUCUGUGGCCAGGGCCUCCUGUGCCAAGGACCUGGGGUUCACAGCCACAGUCCUCAGAGGACUCUUGCCUGUCUGUGGAAACUGAGUGGGGAGGCAGGAGCCCAAUACAGACCAGAUCUUGAAUUAGAGCAGCUUCAGGCUUCAUCUGGGAACAAUGAAAGAACCGGUGUCAGCACUCCAGGACUAGAGGAGGCAGGGAUGGCGUGUUCCUUCGCAGAACCUGGAGAACCCCUCAGGACCCCCGCCCCUACUCCAUGCCACCUUAGAGAGCAGCAGGGGAGGGGAAGGCAUCUGCAAUAUUAAGCGUUGUUACCCAAAGAACAGCCUACGUAUUUGCUGAAGAUGCUGUUUAAUUGACAAGAUUUGACUAUGUUUAAUGCAGGUAGAAUAUUUAAAUUUGAUCACCAACCACCCAGGGUGUGCAUGGGGGAGAGGAGCAUGCUGUCUGCUGAGGCAAGCAGGGUGACUAGAAACAAAAACAAAUGGCCACUUUUUCUCUGCACUGGGGUCAUCAGUGGCAGGUAAUUUAAUGACCCCAGUAUGCAGCUAAGCAUCAGAACACGUGAUACAUUUGCCUUCUACUUCUCUCCUUCCCAAUGUCUUCAGGGAAAAAUGAAUGAUCUAAUGAGUGGCUGUGCAUGGAGGCCCAGUUCAGGGAGAUGAGGUCUCAGUCACACGUCGAGUCUCCUUUCCAGUGGCCCUUAUGGCUGAGGGAGACAGUGUCCCCUGGGCUGCACCAGUUGGAAGAAAAGGUGGAGUUUUCACAACCCUGGUUAGAAGUGGGAGGGAAGAGGUCAAGUCCUCAAGAGGAAGAGGAAGCAAAAAAAGAAAGAAGGAACUGAAAGAACUGAGAUAGGGCCGGGAAAGAGGGAGAAAGGAGAUGAAA